UUUGGCGGGAUCUUUGUCUCUCGCUGGCGUUGGCACAGGAACUUGGGAUCCAUCUCCUCUUUCGCCUCCUCCACCUUGGGAGCCCCGGGCUACUCUCUCACAGACCCUGUUGCCCUGUGAUCUGUAGGUCCUUGGGGACCCACAGUUAAGAUACCAGGACAUCCUGGAAGCUGGGAAACGAUUUCUUCCAGACCAUGGCUGGAGAAGUAAAGAAGGUGUGUUUUGCCUGAUUCAGGGACUAUAGAGAGAACCAAGUUCUGCAGGCCUGUCACCUAAGUCUCAGUUGGGAAACUGAGGCCCCAGAAGAGGCAGAAGCUGGUCCAGAUCUCAGGAGGUGGGCAGGCUCCAGAACAUUAGAGAGGGCUCCAGCUUCCUAGGCCUUGGCUCCGUCCCACCGAUCAGAUAUGUAUUCAUUUCCUACCACCGUAGUGGAAGAGAGACUAUCCCUGUCUUUACACCUGGUAGCAUUUCCAAAAGUAAGCUGUGAGAUUCUGCUUGAAAUCACCUCUCAAACAAAUAAAAAACAGACCUGGGAGACAUGCUACACUCAUUCUGCUGAAGAAAUAGUAUAUUUUGCAGACCCAGGCUGGCUUUUCCUUCUGUUCCUGGUUCACCCAGUGCAGUGUGUGCUCAUUGCAUCCUGUGCACGCGUCACUGUGCUGUGUGCUCCUGCCUAGGCAUCAUACCUGGGGAAACAGGGAUUCACAAGACCCAGGCUGUUCCCUACAUAUGUUUCCUCCUCCGACAUCAGUUCAUCAGUCAAUCAAGUCAUGUGAGAGUGGAGGCCAUGUAUUCCCUCUUAUUCUUGAGCACUCUCCUCCAAGGAGGAAAAGGCCAGGAGGUCCUGUUAGAGGAUGCACUCUGAGAGCCCGGGCUCCAUAAGGUGUGAGAGUUCUAACCAGCAGGUGUAGACUUUUCAGGAGUGAGGAAUGAGGCAGGCAUUCCAAACCUGGACCUUCAUCACUUUUUGUUUCAUCUCAAGACAAUUCUGAGGGGCUCUUUUGGAAAGUGUCUGGAAGGUGAACGUUGAAGAAGAGUGUGGGCUUUGAUGUGACUCAGAUGAGAUCUUUCACGGGGAGGAAGGAAUUCAAUGCCCAGAAUCUGGGCUGGUGUCUUUGAGGUCAGUAGGUUGCGUCUUUGUAUCCAAGUCUGUUGUUACUAGGUUGGAGGCUGGAGAUUCUAAAUGGCUUCCAGACCGCCUCUCUGAUUCUCUUUGGGAGAUGGGGUCUCAAAAAGACAAUGUCAGUAUUUUGGGGAAAUUCUAGAAAAUCUGCUUGGAAACGUGGGAAGAGCUCUUGCCUAGUGCCUAAAUGCUCAACGUGCAGCUGUAGCCACGUAGAUGCUUGGUAGGUAUAGAGCUGGGUUUGCAUUUAUAUCAGCAAAACCUAUGUCAGAGUUGAAGAAGUAGUCAGGAAAAAGUGUCUUGGUCGCAGGCCAGGGAACAUCUUAAAAGCAAACUUCUAGCCUGCUGACUCUUGGCAAUGAGUGUUGGAUCCUGGCUAAAGUGCCUUGAAUGCAGCAUGAGGCCAAUCCAUGAAUCCAACUUCUAAUGCAGAAAUGUUAAUAUUUUUUCAGUUUGAAUCAAUCACGGUGAAACUAUCAUGCUAUUGGUUUGCUUACUUUUUAUUAUUUCAUAUAAAAUCUAAGACAAAAUACAUUAAAUGCUUAUUGACAUAUGUAUUUAUUCUUCAUCUGGCUGAUAAUAUCUGCCUAAUUUUAAACUUUCUUCCAUUUUGUAGGUUUCAACUUAUUUUAUUGUAAGAUACUGUUAAAUCUAAUACAGGCAUUGUCACUUUUACAUAUAAUUUUAUUUUAUUUCAUAUAUUUCCUAUUGGCUUUUUACAUUUAAAUUAUCUACCACUUCAUCAUAUAAAAAGCUUCAAUUAUAUUUAAACAGUAAGUCUUUGGAUUUUUUUGUCUUGUAAUUUCCAUAUUACAUAAUAAUGAGAUAAACGUUAAUGUUUUCAGGGUAUUUUAAAUUUUAGAUAAUUACUCAUUGUAUUCAUGUGAAAUUUGUUUUUACUGCAUGUGUGGGUUGGAGGACUGUUUUCACUUCUGAUUCAUCUUUACUCUUAUCUCAUCAGAGCUCAUACCUCUUGUAGUUGGGGGAUUGCAGUUUAUCAUUCCAAUAAAUGGGGCAAAUUCAAUAAUAACAUAAUACAAAUGAGUUUGAAUGCAGGACAGGUCUUCAAAGCAUACACAACAUGGGCCUACAUAUGUACAACAAUAAUAAUUUAUAAGUUACAGUUUGGAUGGAAAGUAAAAGUACAGAAAAUUUGUUAAAGUAAAUUAAAAUGGAGAUCAUGUCUCAAUAAUCUCUGAGCAGACAAAAUCAGUUAGGUCUCAUAAGUGAUCUCAACCUUGCUUGAUUUGCAAAUACAAACAAAACUUAAAUUAUUUCUUGUAGCUGCAUAUUUAAAAAACAGAAAUGAAGCUCAACCAGUCAGGAGUAGCCAACAACCUUGUAUAAAUAGAAACUGUCCAACAAGGUAAACAGGCGAACAAAAAACAAUAAAAAAAGUUGUGCUACCACCAAUCAAAUGAUUUCUUUGUUUCUACAUUUUUCAAAUAAAUACUUGCUUCUUACACUGUCAAUGAAGCACUCAAUAUCUUUCCAUCUGAUAUUUUAUAAUUUAUCAAUUUCUCUUACUCAAAUAAACACUUUGCAAUUUCAUUGUCUCUUAAAUUACUUUUUAGCAGAAUAAGCUAGGAAUAAAUAUUACAAAAAUGUGUAUGGAAUAUGGAAAAAACAUAGAAAGUUUAUGAAAUAUAUGAAUGUAGACAUAAGCAAAUAGACAAUUUGUAUCAUAUUCUUAGUCAGCAAAACUCAAUAUUAUCAACAUCAAUUGUCCUUAAAGUUAUUUAUAAACUCAAUUUUGUUCCUGUAUUGAUACCAUUAAAUAUUGCAAGUACACGUUACUAUAAAAUAUUAUAUAGAUGAAAACGCAAACAAGAAUAGACAAGAAAACUCUGAAAAAAAAAAAACACUGGCAAGCCCUGUGAAAAAUCUUGAUUGAUUAAAAAGCUCAUAGAUCACUGAAACUAAAAAUUCAGAAAUAAACCAAAGUGCCUAAGAAAGUGUCAUACUGCAUCUUGGCUGCUAUAACAAAAUACCUUAGACUGGGUAAAGGAUAAAUAAGAGAAAUGUAUUUUUCACAGUUAUGGAGGCUGGAAAGUGCAAGAUCAAGGCAGCAGCAAAUUUAGUAUAUUGUGAGAGCCCUGUUCCCCAUAGAUGGUACCAUCUCGCACACGGGACAAGGGCAUUCCCUUCAACUUCCUUUGAAAGAGCACUGAUUCCAUUCAUGAAGAUGAAGAACUCUUGGCUUCACCACUUUCCCAAAGUCCUCACGCCUAAAAUUAUACACAUAUGAAUUUGAAAGGGGACAUAAACAUUCAGGCCAUAGCAAUAAGAACUACAUGGGUGAUGGCAUCAUUUAUACAUGAGGUGUAAAAAUGUGAUCUUCUUAACACAAAGGAAAUAAAUGAUUUAUUCUUCAUGGCAUAUACCAAAAUAAAGGUCCAAUGGAAAUAUUUUUUAUAAAGAUAAAUCUAUAUGGCAAAAAAUUAAGUGAUGCUAAGGUUAACCCUACAGGUUGCAUCAGGAUUUUCAAGGUUUCCAGGGAUGAGCAAGGCCCUGGAGUUUCCUCCUGUGACAUUUUCCUGGAAGUUGCUCAUGCUGUUAUUCAAUUUGAAAGUAGAUAAUAUUGUUUGUUUCUCUUCCAAUAUUUACUAAAUUCAAAAUAAUAUAGGGCUCUUUACGCAUAAUUCUCAAACAAUCAUUCAGUCAGUGGGGCUCUGCUGAGGAAGAGCACAGACACAUCCACACAAGUAUAAUGUUCCUCAAAUAGAGGACUUCUCCUUGUACUGGAGCCACCUAUGUUGCACUCGAUCAGAGGCUUUCCCAGGCAAGCAUUUCUCUGCAGCCCUACCACAGUCUUAACCCUGAAAAUCCGACUCAGAAGGUGACGGAUGAACACCCACCCUAGCAUUCUAAUCUAAUGGAUCCUCUCUUAACAAUCCCUUUCAGGGAUCUGGGAUCUUUCCUGGAUUCGUCGACCACACACAGCUAGGCUCAAAAAUUUGGACAGAAACUUUGAUCCUCAUUGGCCCUCCUGCCCUGUCCUACCAGCUUCUCUAGAAGUAUGCUUCUCUAAUUGUUCCUGAGAGACUCUAUCUAAGGGUAUCAACCUGUGCCAAUAUAAUUGAUCUCAUAAAGUGAGAAGGGAAAUAGGCAAGAGUCCAGCUAGCCUAGAAGCAGUGUCUAGGGUUCCUUACCUGAUUUAUGUCUCUGAUUUACCUAAAUAUUGACAAAUACAGAUUCACCUCUAGACAGUAGAAAAACAGAAGGAGAAAUCCCAGUUCAUAGAGGAAGAAGAAAAUGCAAUCAAUGCUGUCUAGAGUCCCGCUUAAGCUCAGCCACAGGGUACUAAGUCUCUUCAGGGAAAAGCAAUUGGUGUCCAUCAUCUGAAAAACUGUGGCCUGGAACCAUGGGCACCGAGAGUGCACACUGCCCACUAGAGUUCCAUGCCUACAUCACGGAGAGAUAGAAUAGUCUCAAAGGAUUCUUAAGAGUAAUGUUGGGACCAAAAGGAGAUGAAUCCACAGCCUCUGCCUUACCGUCUGAUCUAACUAAUAGUAUUUCCAGACCUUUCUGUGGGCUGCACCAGGGGUUGUUCAGAAAGGAAAAAAAGUUGUUAAUGUCCCACCGUUUCCCGUAGCUUCCGAGGUCUGUGUUGUUCACUCCCUAGGUUCCAGGUUGUUUUCCCACUACUUCCACAGAAUCAGUGUGUCUCAUUCCUGUACCUAUAAUUUCAUCUUUAUUCUAGUCGCCCUCUACUUUUUCCUAGACAUUUUAUCUAGUAGA